rnacentral:rRNA from 1 species
UACAGGGGGGGCAAGCGUUGUUCGGAAUUACUGGGCGUAAAGGGCUCGUAGGUGGCCAACUAAGUCAGACGUGAAAUCCCUCAGCUUAACUGGGGAACUGCGUCUGAUACUGGAUGGCUUGAGUUUGGGAGAGGGAUGCGGAAUUCCAGGUGUAGCGGUGAAAUGCGUAGAUAUCUGGAGGAACACCGGUGGCGAAGGCGGCAUCCUGGACCAAUACUGUCACUGAGGAGCGAAAGCCAGGGGAGCAAACGGG